UGGGGUGUAGCUCAGUGAUAGAGCACUUUCUUAGUAUGUGCGAGGCCCUGGGUUUGAUUCCUAGUACUGCAG
rnacentral:tRNA from 1 species